rnacentral:lncRNA from 1 species
CCGUUCUGAUUUCAUAAAAAAUUUAUGAUUAUUAAUUUAUUUUUAAAAAAAUCGUAUCAUUUACUGAUUGGACUUGCGAUAUUAUUUAUUUAUUUUAAAGAGUUUUGAUCAUGCAUUUUCUAUUAAGACCAUGAUUAUUAGAUAAAUAAAUAAUUAGUUAAAGUAGGGAAAGAUGAGAGGCCGACGGUACUCUGGUUUCAUGCCAUCAUCCCCCUCCCUCCGAUGAGGAUCUCCGGCCUAUGUCCGGCGGCCACCUAAGGUAAGCCGCCGGCGUCCUAACCUCCAGCAGCCAAAUUGCCGGUCCCCGAUCUCUGAGGACCAGCAUACAGAUCCAACAACAAAAAAAGGUGGGAGAGAUGAG